AACGUCCCAGUUCGGAUUGUAGUCUGCAACCCGACUACAUGAAGCUGGAAUCGCUAGUAAUCGCGGAUCAGAAUGCCGCGGUGAAUACGUUCCCGGGUCUUGUACACACCGCCCGUCACACCAUGGGAGUUGGUAACGCCCGAAGUCAGUGACCCAACCAAACGGAGGGAGCUGCCGAAGGCGGGACCGGUAACUGGGGUGAAGUCGUAACAAGGUACC
rnacentral:rRNA from 1 species